AACGAACGCUGGCGGCAUGCCUAACACAUGCAAGUCGAACGAGACUUUCCGGUCUAGUGGCGCACGGGUGCGUAACGCGUGGGAACCUGCCCUUAGGUUCGGAAUAACUUCCCGAAAGGGGUGCUAAUACCGGAUAAUGUCUUCGGACCAAAGAUUUAUCGCCUUUGGAUGUGCCCGCGUUGGAUUAGCUAGUUGGUACGGUAAAAGCCUACCAAGGCGACGAUCCAUAGCUGGUCUGUGAGGAUGAUCAGUCACACUGGGACUGAGACACGGCCCAGACUCCUACGGGAGGCAGCAGUGGGGGAUAGUGGACAGUGGGCGAAAGCCUGAUGCAGCAAUGCCGCGUGAAUGAUGAAGGCCUUAGGGUUGUAGAGCGCUAGUAACCGGGAUGAUAAUGACAGUACCGGGAGAGUAAGCUCCGGCUAACUCCGUG
rnacentral:rRNA from 1 species